AUAAUAUAUUUUAACGUCUUGGUUUUAGAUCAUCAAGACCCUAGAAUCUAGGACGUUUUGCCCCCGUCAAGAAAAAUAGCGGACGUUUGUCCCCGACCGUAGAACAUCAACGGGAAAUUAUUAACCACAGAACAUCGCGUUUUCUUCCACUGGUAUUUGCGACAGAUAAUAAAUAGAAUGUUGGUGCCGUUAGCGGUAUAGUAGAUUUACGGCUGGAUCUAAUGCAAUUUUUUUUUCCAUCGUGUGGGCCACGUUAUUAAACUUGAAAAAAAGUAGAUGGACAUUCAGCACCAUUUCGAAUACACGUACACAUACUAUACAUAAAUACAGAAAUACUAUUAACGAUUCUGGAAAGGUCGUGCAUUUCUGCCGGCUCUGCAGAAAGCAUUUUGAAUAUUGCCCAGAGGGCAGCUUAUAUUCUAUCAGGUUUAUUCAACUUAACAUAAUUUCAUAUGA